rnacentral:rRNA from 1 species
GAUGAACGCUGGCGGCGUGCCUAACACAUGCAAGUCGAACGGGGUUAAGGGAAGUUUUCGGAUGGAACUUAACUUAGUGGCGGACGGGUGAGUAACGCGUGGAUAACCUGCCUCACACUGGGGGAUAGCAGCUGGAAACGGCUGGUAAUACCGCAUAAGACCACAGCACCGCAUGGUGCAGGGGUAAAAGAUUUAUCGGUGUGAGAUGGAUCCGCGUCUGAUUAGCCAGUUGGCGGGGUAACGGCCCACCAAAGCGACGAUCAGUAGCCGGCCUGAGAGGGUGAACGGCCACAUUGGGACUGAGACACGGCCCAAACUCCUACGGGAGGCAGCAGUGGGGAAUAUUGCACAAUGGGCGCAAGCCUGAUGCAGCAACGCCGCGUGAGUGAAGAAGUAUUUCGGUAUGUAAAGCUCUAUCGGCAGGGAAGAAAGGCCCGAAAGGGAGAUGACGGUACCUGACUAAGAAGCCCCGGCUAACUACGUGCCAGCAGCCGCCGUAAUAC